GAGAAUAGAACUUUAGAUGUGAAUGCAGUCCAGUAAUCGAGGAGGUUUUCUAAUUUCAAGCAGCCUCUUUCGAAGAUCUUCGAAAGGCUAGUACAUAAUGGCCUACUCCUACCAACCGCCCUCAAGAAGCCACCAAACCCUAAAGCACCUGGUUAUAGACCCAACACCUACUACAAAUUCCGCCAAGCACCCGACACCACAUAAACAACCGUAUCUGCCUUAAACACGAACUCCAAGACCUUAUUGAUGCUAGAAAGCUUACUGACUCUGACCAACUCA
rnacentral:lncRNA from 1 species